GGGGAAGUCCUUAUAGUUUAGUGGUAGAGUAUCUGCUUUGCAUGCAGGAGGGUCCCAGGUUCAAUCCCUGCUAUCUCCA